UACGUAGGGUCCCGAGCGUUUGUCCGGAAUUAUUGGGCGUAAAGGGCUCGUAGGCGGUUUGUCGCGUCGGGAGUGAAAACACCGGGCUUAACUCGGUGCUUGCUUUCGAUACGGGCAGACUAGAGGCAUGCAGGGGGAGAACGGAAUUCCUGGUGUAGCGGUGAAAUGCGCAGAUAUCAGGAGGAACACCGGUGGCGAAGGCGGUUCUCUGGGCAUGUCCUGACGCUGAGGAGCGAAAGUGUGGGGGAGCGAACAGG
rnacentral:rRNA from 1 species